CCCGCCGAUUCCGCAGAACGCUCCCGCCCCUCCUUGCCUCCCUCUAGCGGCAGCGCGAAGAGCGUUUGCACUGCAGCUUGACAAAUGCUGAUGCCACCACUGCUGAAACUCCACUCCUCAAAUGACAGAGGGACCUUCCAGUAAGCCUCACACCUGCCUUCAGAAGGAGCAAGUGCAUAGUGAUGCUGAGCUCCCCUCUGACCACAGACACAGCUCUAAAGACACACCCACCUACCUGCUGAAGGGGGUGAGACCAGGGCAAGGAGCACCUUCUCCUAAAAUAAGCACUCACUCUCUGUCUUACCCAUAAGCAGCUCAACUGCCCCUGUCUGGCCCGAUGAGGUUCUGCGUCCUGGCCAUCUGCCCAAGCCUCGGCACACAGUGGUCACAGUUUAAGGAAUCAGUUUGGACCCUGCCUGCCUGACGUCUGCACAUAGUCCACAGGAGCCCUUCCUCAGC